GCACCCUGCGGAGCGCGCACCUCCGGUCCCCACGGGGGUAUCGUCCGCCAGGCUAUAACACACCCCGGAGGGUGCUACGUUCCUGACGGUCUUAUCCCCCCACGAGAACCGAUGCUGGCCUGUGCCGGGCGGAGUGCACAGGGGAGAACCCCUGAUGAGCCGCCCGGCCCAUGUCUGGUCACAAGUGCUUCCCUUUCAACAAUUUCACGUACUAUUUAACCCCCUUUUCAAGGUGCUUUUCAUCUUUCGAUCACUCUACUUGUGCGCUAUCGGUCUCUGGUCGGUAUUUAGCUUUAGAAGAGAUUUACCUCCCAUUUAGAGCAGCAUUCCCAAACUACUCGACUCGUCGAAGGAGCUUCACACAGGCUUGGUGUCCGACCAUACGGGGCUCUCACCCUCUGUGGCGUCCCGUUCCAGGGAACUCGGAAGGCACCGCGCCAGAAGCAUCCUCUGCAAAUUACAACUCGGGCCGAGGCCAGAUUUCAAAUUUGAGCUGUUGCCGCUUCACUCGCCGUUACUAGGGCAAUCCCUGUUGGUUUCUUUUCCUCCGCUUAUUGAUAUGCUUAAGUUCAGCGGGUAUUCCUACCUGAUCCGAGGUCAAAUUUUCAGAAGUUGGGGGUUUAACGGCAGGGCACCGCCAGGGCCUUCCAAAGCGAGGGUUUAACUACUACGCUCGGGGUCCUGGCGAGCUCGCCACUAGAUUUCAGGGCCUGCUUGGUAAAAAGCAGUGCCCCAACACCAAGCAAUGCUUGAGGGUUGAAAUGACGCUCGAACAGGCAUGCCCUCCGGAAUACCAGAGGGCGCAAUGUGCGUUCAAAGAUUCGAUGAUUCACUGAAUUCUGCAAUUCACAUUACUUAUCGCAUUUCGCUGCGUUCUUCAUCGAUGCCAGAACCAAGAGAUCCGUUGUUGAAAGUUUGAUUCAUUUGUGUUUUUCUCAGAGUUCAGUGUAAAACAAGAGUAACUUGGCCGCCGGCGUGCCUGCUCCUGUCUCCAGGGAACCCGAGGGGCCAACAUGCGCCGAGGCACAGUAAAGGUUAAGUCACAAAGGGUUCUGGGUGGCCUAGGCGCGUCCAGAAUGACCCCCGAGGGUUCCCCAGGGAAAAAAUGGGAUAUUGGUGGGAGGGGCUUAGGGGCACCGAACCCUUGGGAACUAACU
rnacentral:misc_RNA from 1 species